GAGUCUCAGAGCAUGGGCACAGCACAGUCCUGCUAAUGCCUCACUGCUGCCCCCACAGUCUGUAGAGGAGGCUCAGUAACACGACCCAGCCCCUCCCCCAAAAAAAGCAGAUUCCAUUUGGGUUUUUUUUCUUUUUUUCUUUGCUAAUUUGUCUCUGAUUCUUCUCUGACAAAAUGAGCAAAAAAUUGAAAAGGACCUUAACGAUUGACAGCUUUUAUAUGGACAGAGAGCAGACUCUAAACCCUGAGGAGACUAAAAACAGACUGUCUCCAGGUGAAUCUCCACAGGAGGAGAUCAUCUGUUCCUCAGCACAGAUGAAUCUCAAAGAAGAAAUUAAAAAGGCUCUCACAAGAGAGCUAGAAGAAAAAUGGGAAAAGGAGAGGGAGGCUUGGCAAGAGAGUCUGGAGAAAGUGUCCCAUUCAUUUAAAGACAGAAUGGAUAAAGAAAACAAAUCCUUGAAAAAUAGGAUUAGUGAACUGGAAACAGAAAAUAGCCCUCUAAAAAACAAAAUUGGCAAAAUGGAAAAACAUUCCAUAGAACAAAUUAGACAAUUAGAAAAAGAUAUUAAAAAAGUGAAUGAAGAAAAUACUUCAUUGAAAAUCAGAAUCGAACCUUUGACUGUAAAAAUAUUUUCCCAGUUUAUUGCUUCCCUUCUAAUCUUUUCUGCAUUAAUUUUGUUUGUGCAAAAACUUUUCAGUUUGGUAUAGUCGAAAUUUUCUAUUUUGUGCUCAGUAAUGAUCUCUAGGUCUUCUUUGGUCAUAAAGUCCUGUCCCUUCCACAGGUCUGAGAGGUAAACUAUCCUGUGUUCCUCUAAUUUAUUAAUAAUUUCAUUCUUUAUGCCUAGGUCAUGAACCCAUUUUGACCUUAUCUUGGUGUACGGUGUUAAAUGUGGAUCAAUGCCUAGUUUCUGCCAUAUUAGUUUCCAAUUUUCCCAGCAAUUUUUAUCAAACAGUAAGUUCUUAUCCCAAAAGCUGGGGUCUUUUGUCAAAGACUAGGUUGCUAUAGUUGUUGACUAUUUUGUCCCUUGAACCUAACCUAUCACUGAUCAACUAAUCUAUUCCUUAGCCAAUACCAAAUGGUUUUGGUAACUGCUGCUCUAUAAUAUAAUUUUAGAUCUGGUACAGCUAAGCCACCUUCAUUUGAUUUUUUUUUCAUUAAAUUCCCUUGAAAUUCUUGACCUUUUGUUUUUCCAUAUGAAUUUUGUUGUUAUUUUUUCUAGGUCAUUAAAAUAGUUUUUUGGGAGUCUGAUUGGUAUAGCGCUAAAUAAAUUGAUUAGUUUAGGUAAUAUUGUCAUCUUUAUUAUAUUUGUUCGCCCUAUCCAAGAGCAUUUAAUAUUUUUCCAAUUGGUUAGAUCAGACUUAAUUUGUGUGAAAAGUGGUCUGUAAUUUUGCUCAUAAAGUUUCUGAUUUUCCCUUGGAAGAUAGAUUACUAAAUAUUUUAUAUUAUCAGUAGUUACUUUAAAUGGAAUUUCUCUUUGUAACUCUGACUGUUGGAUUUUGUUAGUGAUAUAGAAGAAUGCUGAUGACUUAUGUGGGUUUAUUUUAUAACCAGCAACUUUGCUAAAGUUGUGGAUUAUUUCUAAUAACUUUUUAGUAGAAUCUCUGGGGUUCCAGGAGCAUAUAUUUAAAACCAUCAGUAAGCAGCAUAUGCAAUGGGGAAAAACUGGAACCUUUCCCAGUAAGAUCUGGAGUGAAGCAAGGUUGCCCACUGUCACCAUUAUUAUUCAAUAUUGUAUUAGAAACACUAGCCUUGGCAAUAAGAGUCGAGAAAGAGAUUAAAAGUGUAGGCAAUGAGGAAACCAAACUAUCACUCUUUGCAGAUGAUAUGAUGGUAUACUUAGAGGACCCCAGAGAUUCUACUAAAAAGCUAUUAGAAAUAAUUCCUAACUUCAGCAAAGUUGCAGGAUACAAAAUAAAUCCCCAUAAAUCUUUAGCAUUUUUAUACAUCACCAACAAAAUCCACCAGCAAGAGAUAUAAAGAGAAAUUCCAUUCAGAAUAACUGUCGACAGCAUAAAAUAUUUGGGAAUCUAUCUAUCAAAGGAAAGUCAGGAAUUAUAUGAGGAAAAUUACAAAAAACUUUCCACACAAAUAAAGUCAGAUUUAAGCAAUUGGAAAAAUAUUAAGUGCUCCUGGAUAGGCCGAGCAAAUAUAAUAAAGAUGACAAUACUCCCUAAUCUAUUUAUUUAGUGCUAUACCAAUCAGACUUCCAAGAAAAUAUUUUAAUGAUCUAGAAAAAAUAACAAUAAAAUUCAUAUGGAAUAAUAAAAGGUCAAGAAUCUCAAAAGAAUUAAUGAAAAAAAAAUCAAAUGAAGGUGGCCUAGCCGUAUCUGACCUAAAACUAUAUUAUAAAGCAGCAGUCACCAAAACCAUUUGGUAUUGGCUAAGAAAUAGAUUAGUUGAGCAGUGGAACAGGUUAGGUUCACAAGACAGAAUAGUCAACUAUAGCAAUCUAGUGUUUGACAAACCCAAAGAUCCUAACUUUUGGAAUAAGAAUUCAUUAUUUGACAAAAACUGCCGGGAUAACUGGAAAUUAAUAUGGCAGAAAUUAGGCAUGGACCGACACUUAACACCGUAUACCAAGAUAAGAUCAAAAUGGGUCCAUGGUUUAGACAUAAAGAACAAGAUUAUAAAUAAAUAGGAGGAACAUAGGAUAGUUUAUCUCUCAAACUUGUGGAGAAGGAAGAAAUUUGUGACUAAAGACGAACUAGAGACCAUUAUUGAUCACAAAAUAGAAAAUUUUGAUUACAUCAAAUUAAAAAGCUUCUGUACAAACAAAACUAAUGCAAACAAGAUUAGAAGGGAAGCAACAAACUGGGAAAACAUCUUCACAGUUAAAGGUUCUGAUAAAGGCCUCAUUUCCAAAAUAUAUAGAGAACUGACUCUAAUUUAUAAGAAACCAAGCCAUUCUCCAAUUGACAAAUGGUCAAAGGAUAUGAACAGACAAUUUUCAGGUGAUGAAAUUGAAAUUAUUACCACUCAUAGUAAAGAGUAUUCCAAAUCAUUAUUAAUCAGAGAAAUGCAAAUUAAGACAAUUCUGAGAUACCACUACACACCUGUCAGAUUGGCUAAGAUGACAGGAAAAAAUAAUGAUGAUUGUUGGAGGGGAUGAGGGAAAACUGGGACACUGAUACAUUGUUGGUGGAGUUGUGAACGAAUCCAACCAUUCUGGAGAGCAAUCUGGAAUUAUGUCAAAAAGUUAUCAAACUGUGCAUACCCUUUGAUCCAUCAGUGUUUCUACUGGGCUUAUAUCCCAAGGAGAUACUAAAGAAAGGAAAGGGACCAGUAUGUGCCAAAGUGUUUGUGGCAGCCCUGUUUGUAGUGGCUAGAAACUGGAAAAUGAAUGGAUGCCCAUCAAUUGGAGAAUGAUUGGGUAAAUUGUGGUAUAUGAAUAUUAUGGAAUAUUAUUUUUCUGUAAGAAAUGAUCAGCAGGAUGAAUACAGAGAGGCUUGGAGAGAAUUACAUGAACUGAUGCUAAGUGAAAUGAGAAGAACCAAGAGAUCAUUAUAUACGUCAACAACAAUACUGUAUGAAGAUGUAAUCUGAUGGAAGUAGAUUUCUUUGACAAAGAGACCUAAUUCAUUUCAAUUGAUCAAUGAUGGACAGAAGCAGCUACACCC
ensembl:lncRNA